AUAAAUUGUCUGUCUUUUUCGACUGGCCAUUAGUUUCUGAAAUUAAGGUACUGUGAUUUGGGAGGAAUAGAUGUGUACACACUAUUGUUAAUUGCAGGAGGGUGAUUUGUAGUCUAAAGCCUAAAAUCUCUGGAUUGGACGGCGACGGCGCAUCGGCGUCGCUUACUUCUUGAAGACGCCGCCUUGGGAGCUCUUCGUGGUCAGUUUGGUGCGGUGGUGGUCUGCCAAUCUUCAGUAGUGUCCCUGCUCGGGAGUUGCGGUGGGCUUUUGGGUCUUGGCCAGAGACGGUCGCGAUAUAUGGGUUUCCUACAGAGGCGAGGUCGCCACAGAUGUUGUCCUAUCCCCCGCAACUGGUUGGCAUGUUCAUGCGUGCUCGGGGGUGAGCUGCUCUGCCUGCCGAUGGAACGACGUCCUUUGAUCCAGGACGAGAGGGCAGGGGUGCCCUCUCCGGAGGCUGCGACAGGAUAACAGGUUGGCCUUGGGAGGGGCGGAGCGUGGCUUUCUUCCGGCGACGAAUAGCUUCCUUGUCGCAGUUGCGUUGAUGGCAUGAUCUGCGGCCGUCGUGGGCUUCGAGAUCCUACGGAUCCUUCGGAGCUCGUUAGUUGUUCCGUAGUGUUUUGUAUCCGGUCGUGUUUGUCUUUCGUUUCUUAUGGUAUUGCCGUCUGUAAUGUCUGGUUUGCUUUAUUAUUUAUAAAGCGGGGCGAAACCCUUUUUGGGUAAAUAUGAUAGAACGAUGGAUUACAUGGUUGCUUUUCAAACCUAUUCAGGUUGGUGGAAGUCGUGAACUUUAUAUUCAUAUUAGUUCAUGUAUUUGUUUACUGGCGGUAACUAUUUCAUCUGAUGGUAUUGCUAUCGUGUCAUACAGAACAAGUACUCUGAUGAUGGCAAGAAACAUAAUGUUAAAUGAACUGGGUAAUGUUGAGGUUGAUGAUAGCAUGCUUGUGUAAGUUUUUACAAGCUGUACAUUAUAUGGAUGAGAUCAUGAAUGUGGUAUGAAAAAAUGUCUGUCCAGUGUACAAAGCCAUGAAACUGGAUUCAGAAAUAAGAAAUAGUCGCUUCGACGACGGCGGUGGCGGGCAUCGUGGCAUGGACGACGGUGAUCCCCUCGGCGGCGGCGAUCUGCAGCAGGUCAUGCUGGCUCUGCACCAGGCUCGCCGGCAUGAAUUGACCCCCUUCCACCGCCCUACGCCCCACCUGCUCGGCGUUCACCUCCGCUGGCGCCUACUGGCACACGAACUUCACCAGAAUUCACUUGCAGGAGAUUAAUGUGUUUGGGGAACUAUAUAUUGAAAAAGUGUGUAUUUUUGCAAGAGAAUAUAUAAUUGAUGUAACAUAUAUGAAAGAUGGUCUGAUAUUUGGAUUAAAGAGGCAUACUGAUUCAUCUUUAAAAAAAGGCAUACUGGUUCACAAAGAAUAAUAUUUCUAAUUUUCUGGAUGUUUGAUACAAUGUACAUUUGUGUUAGACGUGCGUUGCACAUGCAUGCUUACUAUAGAUUAUCCUAUACAUUUCCUUUAUUAACACAAAUGGCAAUUCUAUAAUUUGUUAGGCAUUACAUCUCUGUUUUGCGCAGGAAACUUCAGAAAUUAGGCUUUUCUUUGUAAAUGUCUUCACGACACUGGGUUGGCUUCUGUUCCGGUGGUCACAGAAUACUCAUGGGAUUUCAUUUGAAUGUUUAUUCUUCAGAUUAUGCUGAACUAAAUAUGAGCUCAGUGUGGUGUUUGGUUUGAAUGGUGAAUUUUGUGCGGUGUUUCUGCAGGAGUUUUUUAAUCUAAAGCAAGGGUGAGCGCCAAGGAAGGAGGCACCGCCACGGGCGACGGUGGCGGGGUUGGCCGCUGGCGGCUACAAUAUUUAAUCAUUGUUGUCAACAUUGGCACACAGGAUUUAGUGGAAGGAAGGUUUUGGGCCAUCAGAUUUCCCUGAGAAUCAAGGGAAAGGAAGAGGAAAGGAAAAUGUUGAUACAUGCUCUGUUGCAAGUGUUUAUGUCGCGCAGAAACUUUAAUCUAUUGUGCAGAAUACAUUUCUUCAGAGAAACCGUUGGUCGUGUGCAGAAUAUAUUUCUUCAGAAAA